rnacentral:rRNA from 1 species
AGAGUUUGAUCCUGGCUCAGAGCGAACGCUGGCGGCAUGCUUAACACAUGCAAGUCGCACGGUAUGGGGGCAACUCCAUGCAGUGGCGGACGGGUGAGUAACGCGUAGGAAUCUAUCCUUGGAUGGGGGACAACCGUGGGAAACUACGGCUAAUACCGCAUGAUGCCUGAGGGCCAAAGCUCGCGAGAGCGUCUGGGGAGGAGCCUGCGUCUGAUUAGGUAGUUGGUGGGGUAAAGGCCUACCAAGCCUGCGAUCAGUAGCUGGUCUGAGAGGAUGAUCAGCCACAUUGGGACUGAGACACGGCCCAAACUCCUACGGGAGGCAGCAGUGGGGAAUAUUGGACAAUGGGGGCAACCCUGAUCCAGCAAUGCCGCGUGGGUGAAGAAGGUUUUCGGAUUGUAAAGCCCUUUUGGCGGGGACGAUGAUGACGGUACCCGCAGAAUAAGCUCCGGCUAACUUCGUGCCAGCAGCCGCGGUAAUACGAAGGGGGCUAGCGUUGCUCGGAAUGACUGGGCGUAAAGGGCGCGUAGGCGGCUUGCAUAGUUAGGCGUGAAAUUCCUGGGCUCAACCUGGGGACUGCGUCUAAUACAUGCAGGCUUGAGUGUGAAAGAGGGUCGUGGAAUUUCCAGUGUAGAGGUGAAAUUCGUAGAUAUUGGAAAGAACACCGGUGGC